AUAUCCCAUGCAGAGGAAAACACUUAGAUAUGUAUUUCUUAACCUACUGGAGCAAGAGGAUCCUCAAAUCAUCUUGAAGAGAUGCCUUUCUCUGCGAAGAGCCGCCCCUGGGCUGAUGAGUCUCCAGGAGUAUAAAUCACCCUCAAUGUCAAUUUCACUUCUUCAUAGGUUUAUUGAACACCCACUGCGUGCUGGGCAGCCAGUGUGCCCUGCCUUAGGGGCUGCAGAGACUCUGCUUUCUAGCAGCUCAGGGCCUGUGACAAAACACUAGGUCACGUGGCCUUGUAGUAGCACACACAUAUGAUAUUCUAAAGAUAUGUCCAUUGCAGAUUAUAAUAAUUUAGUAUAGAUUAGUUUUUCCUUCAAUUUUAGUAUAGAUUAGAUUUCCCUUCUUAAUGCAUCCAUGCCAGUUAGCAAUUGUGCCAUUCACAUCUUUUCCUAAAUCUCCAUGAAGAGUGAUGUCAAAAACCUUAGGCAACUUCCUGCAUCUCUCUGUUAUCUCUCUGUACCUAAGUGGUAAAACGGAGGUUGAUAACAGCACCUAUCUCAUAGGAUUGUGCGGGGAUUAAAAGACGUUAAAAGUAUUCAGAAUACAUUAAAAUACAUAUAUUUUGAACAGUGUCUAGUACAUGGGAAGGACUCAAUAUGAGUUAAAUGAAUAUUGCUAUUAUUAUUAGUAUCACUAGGAAACCUCUUAAAUCAAAACAAAAUAAAAGCAAAUAAAACUAACAAUCACCUGCACGCCAGAGAGGCACCACUACGAAUUAGCAUAUGAUUUAGGGCAAGUGGUUGUUCUCUUUAGGCCUCAGUUUUCCUCACGGUUAAAAUGAGUACAUUGGGCUGGGGCGGUGGCUCACACCUGUAAUCCCAGCACUUUGGGAGGCUGAGGCAGGCAGACCACCUGAGUUCAGGAGUUCGAGACCAGCCUGGCCAACAAGGCGAAACCCCAUCUCUACUAAAAAAAUACAAAAAUUAGCGGGGCAUGGUGGCGGGUGCCUGUAAUCCCAGCUACUCAGGAGGCUGAGGCAGGAGAAUUGCUUGAACCCGGGAGGAGGAGGUUGCAGUGAGCCAAGAUGGCACCACUGCACUCCAGCCUGGGCGACAAGAGCGAGACUCCAUCUCAAAAAAAACAAAAAAGAAUACAUUGAAGGUAAUGAGUUGUCCUCCAGUUGUAAAUCUGUAGAACUCUAUAUAUCUAAAUACCUCAGUGCUUAUGUUGAUCUGGGACUUAUCAAAAUGGUCCUGUUUGUCCCUGUUUGCAGGGAAAGAACCACAAAAGGGUAGAAAUUAAAGGGGCUGGGGGCUUUGCUGACAAGGUUUUCUUCCUUUGGUGAAACUCAAGCUCAAAGAACUUACUUUAAAUAGUUAUUCAAAGGGCAUAGGAAGCAGAUGGCUGAGUGUGGGUUCCAAGUCCCUGGCUUGGGAAAGAACCCUGGUACAAUUAAGGUAAAAUCUGGAGAUUCGGAUGUUUUUCCGAUUGAUUUAUGACAUAGGAAGCUUUGAUGAAAAUCUGAUUGAGAGAAGUGGUGAGGUAAUCAAUGAUUACCUGAAUGAUAACCCAGGUACAUGUGUGGAUGGAGCCCCAAUCAACUCGCCAUUUUGUUUUCUUCUUUCCCAAUUUAUUUCAUUUUUUUUUCCUUUCCCUUUCUUUUCCCCUCACCCACUUUCUCUUGUGAGGCCAGCUGGUGGCAGCUCACGCAACAGGCACUAACUCCUUUCUGGUUCAGGGAUUGUAUUCUUUUUUUU
rnacentral:lncRNA from 1 species